CCGAAUAACAUUUUGUAGCUUUAUUGAAUCUAGGUUUCGACUAUAUUUUAGUCAUCAUCAGGACAGAUUGAUGAUGAUGACUAAAAUAUAGUCGAAACCUAGAUUCAACAAAGCUACAAAAUGUUAUUCGGA